CCAGAGGGUCGGGCGGCCGCGGCCCCGCGCAAGCGGGGGCGAGGAAAGUCCGGGCUCCAUGGAACGACGGUGCCGGCUAACGGCCGGCGGGGGCGACCCCAGGGAAAGUGCCACAGAAAGCAAUCCACCGCGUCUCGGCGCGGCAAGGUCGAAAGGGUGCGGUAAGAGCGCACCGCGUCUCCGGCAACGGAGACGGCACGGUAAACCCCACCGGGAGCAAGACCGAAUAGGGGCGGCACAUGGGCUUCGUUCCGGCUCGUCGCCCGGGUUGGUUGCUUGAGGGGCGGAGCGAUCCGCCUCCUAGAGGAAUGGCCGCCCAUCCACCUGCGCUCUUCGAGCUAUGGCGGAGGACAGAACCCGGCUUACAGACCCUCUGGCAUU
rnacentral:RNase_P_RNA from 1 species